rnacentral:rRNA from 1 species
CGGGGUGAGUAACGCGUGGGUAACCUGCCUCAUACAGAGGGAUAACAGUUAGAAAUGGCUGCUAAUACCGCAUAAGACCACAGUACUGCAUGGUACAGUGGUAAAAACUCCGGUGGUAUGAGAUGGACCCGCGUCUGAUUAGGUAGUUGGUGAGGUAACGGCCCACCAAGCCGACGAUCAGUAGCCGACCUGAGAGGGUGACCGGCCACAUUGGGACUGAGACACGGCCCAG